rnacentral:rRNA from 1 species
AUUGAACGCUGGCGGCAGGCCUAACACAUGCAAGUCGAACGAGUGGCGGACUGGUGAGUAAUUUCUUGGAAACUGCCUAAUGUAGGCGUAUAACUACUGGAAACGUUAGCUACUACCGCAUACCAUCGGUUGUGCCCUGGUGGAUUUAGCUAGUGGGGGGGGUAACGGCUCACCUAGGCGACGAUCCCUAGCUGGCCUGAGAGGGUGACCAGCCACACUGGAACUGAGACACGGUCCAGAAUCCUACGGGAGGCAGCAGUGGGGAAUAUUGGGCAAUGGGCGAAAGCCUGAUGGAGCAAUGCCGCGUGAAUGAAGAAGGCCUUCGGGUUGUAAAGCACUGUCGGCGGAGAGGCGUUACCCGAAGAGGAAGCAACGGCUAACUCCGUGCCAGCAGCCGCGGUAAUAC